rnacentral:tRNA from 1 species
GGGGGAGUUCCAGAGCGGUCAAAUGGGACGGACUGUAAAUCCGUUGCUUCGGCUUCGCAAGUUCGAAUCUUGCCUCCCCCACUA